UGCACUGAUGAGAAUGCAGAAUUGAUAUUUGGUAAAUGUACCAAUAUCUCUUAGAAUAAAGAGAGUCCUAUUUCAUUACCAUUGUCCAUUAAUCAGUUUCUGCCUUACAUUACCUGGUCUAAAGUAGGUCCUCUCAGAUGUACAGCAGAAAUUGGCACAACACUGUAAAUCAACUAUACUUGAGAAAUAAGAAAAAGAAUUUAAAAAUUAAAAAAAAAGAGAAGACCUACUUCAGUAAGUCCUGAUAAAAAGAAGAAUUUCUGGAUAUGAUUCUGGAUAUAUAGUGUCCUACUGUGCAGCACAAGGAACUAUGUCCCAUCUCUUGGGUUGGAACAUGACGGAAGAUAGUAUGAAAAAAAAAAAAAAAGCAUGUACAUAUAUAUAUGUGACUGGGUCACUUUGUUGUACAACAGAAAUUGAAGAAACAUUGUACAUCAAUUAUAAUUUUUAAAAACCAAAUUGGAAAAUUUUUUUUAAAAAGAAUUUCCAACAGGGUGGUUCAGUCCUUCUUUUAUUCCCCAGUGUUUGGGACUCGGAUAGAUCAGAUCCCUUGACUGUCAACAUGCCAGCUGCAAUUUUGGUACCCAUUUCUUCCGGGCGAAGAAGGAGACACUGCCUUGCCAUGACUCCUCUGCCCCAUUGGACCCAGAACAUUCGUUUGGCCUGGCAGGCCUGGUGGCGCUGGUGUCAUGGAAAUUCUCAUUGCUCUGCAAGUUCAGUGCUGCUAUAUUGGAGGAUCAUUGUCAAGCGCGCUAACAGCAUUUCCUUCCUGAGGAAGCUGAGCCCCUGCAGCUGAAACAAUCAGACUGGAGGGGAAAAGAGGUUGGGGAGGGGAGCAACAUGGCUCAGAAAACGGGAUAGGCCACCAGAUACACAAUACCAGGAAUAGCUUUGCUGUGUUCCUGAAACUGGUACGGGUGGAUUAGAUCUUUGAGCCUUCGGUGCCAGCUGUCAUUAUACACAACCAGGAACAGUCCUUCCAGACUGGGGGGGGGGGGAACAGUUUUAUUAUUAUUAUUAUUCUUAAUGUGUUCUUUGGGGAGGAAAGGAGGAAACCUUACACAUGUCCUUUUAGCCUUCACACAGGGUGAGUUUAAACCUCCCUGUCGUGGUUUCAUCCUGGGGCUUAAGCACUAGUUUGCCAGUUGGGGGGGGCGGGCAGAAGGGACUGGGCCUUUUUUUUUUUUUUCCUUUUUUGGUCGAGUGCCUGAUGACUUGUGUGUCUCAAGGAUCCACAACCCACGGAUGAUACCCAUUUAGCUGAGGGCUGCGAAGCUUCGGAGCAUCCAGUGGGGUGCUAGAAACCUUCCUGUUUGUGCGUAACAGUUCCGGGGAUGGAUGGGAACCUUUUGGCCCGUGAAUCAGGCUAGGAUUGUUUUCAGUGGAAGGGACCCUCUGUUCCCCCAUUCACAUCUUCUCCUUGAUUUUGGUCUUGUUCCAGGACGAGUCAAGGCUGUGUCCACAUCAUCGUGGCUCAGACCAAAGACAACAAAUACACCCUGAAUCAGACGAGCGCUGUCUUCGACAGCAUCCCGGAAGUGGUACACUAUUAUUCCAACGAGAAGUUGCCCUUCAAGGGGGCAGAACACAUGACCUUACUCUACCCUGUGCACAGCAAGCUGCACUAAGGUUCAGCCACCAAAAGCCCCGGCGGGGCCUCUUGCACCUCGGAGGGCAUCCGCACCCAACCGGCAUCUCAGGAGACAGGGCUGAACUGCACCACAGUAUUUGGGAGGAAGCGGGACUCUUCAUUUAGAAGUCCAAAAAUCUUUGACCUUGAAUCCAUUCUGUGACACUUGGUUCCUGACCGGUCCCUUUUCUCCUUGCUCAGUCGUUCCACAAUAAGAAACCAGCAUGGACCAGUUGCCUCCACUCUCUGGAGUAGGGUGUUCUGUUUGGGGCAUGACCCUCAGGAAAGGUAAGUCCAGAGUCCAGAGAUAGGAAGGUUGUCCAAGAAUGUGCCAGCUGUUCCCUGGAAUGCCUGGUCUCCAAACAAACCAACACAAAUGCACUUGGCUUUGACAUAAGACAAAACAAUGAUCAUGUGGGCUCAAAGAACAGGUAAUACAGGAGCCCUUCUCGGGGAAAAGCAUGAACAGUGGAAAAUAAGUUAAGUGGUAGGCAUUUUGGAGAAAGCUGUCUUUCUCUCUCGAGGGUCCUAGCUAAGCUCUGGAGUGCAUGAAAAUUCACAGCGUUAGGGUCUGGCCAAAGGAUUAUUUUGUCAGCCAGCCUUCUAAGAAAGUUUGUGUUUUCUCAGUCUCUGAGGACUUUUUCAUCAUUUCUCAGCCAACCAGUAAUAUAAGCAUAAAUAGGAAGGAAGAUAGCCCCGAUUUAAGAAUCACCAAUAUAAUUUAGCAUUGGCAGCGUUACCGUCCUUCUGAAUCACAGGAUAAAAUACACAACAAAGAUUUCAUUUUUUAUUUUUAGCAAAUCUGAAAGUCUGCAAAACAAAUUUACAAUGUAUUUUUAUAUUGGAUGCUUCUACAGAACUUCUCAAAUCUUUUGUUUCCUCUUUUGUGCAUUUUAGUUGUUAUUGGAACCAUUUUUAAUUUUUAAUCCCUAAAAUUGGAUUUGCUUUGUAUUUUUAGAGUAACUUAAAAAAAACAAAAACUCUCUAUAAAACCCUGGGAUCUGAUUGUGGGAACUGAUUCUCUAAAGCCCGUAAGGUUUCUCUCAUGCUGUACAAAGCAGACCAGUUUGCACUGCAUAAAAAUAUUUCAAAAGACUGAAGACUUCUUUAACUACUGUUGCUUAAAGAUAUUAAAAUAAUAUUCAUAGCAUUGUUAUCUUUAUGACUUAACCGUGAACUUAUAUCGCCAAUGUACUUACUGUGAAAAAAACCUGCGGGAAUGGCGUACUGUGAGAAGCUACAGUGAGGGUCUCUAUAAUUACAACUGCGCAGAUGUUUCUGUAUUCUGGGCUUUGUAAUUUGGUUCUUAAAACUGGUCUAGAUACAAAUGUGCUGCCUGUCAUCACCGAAAAGUUAACUUUGGUAACUAAUAUUAAAUGCACAAAAAAAAAAUGUUGAUUUGGGUUAAUUUUUAGGGAAACAUAUCCUUCUAGUUAUCAGUCAUCAUUUACUGUUAUAAUUAGAGAUUAGUACAUACUUGCUUCUUUAUUAAGAUCGUAGCCAAAGGGUCAUGAUUUUGAUUUUAAAAAUUUGAAAGAAACUUUUUCUCACUGGAUCGCAACGAUUUUUGUAAUGAAUGUUCUGGAGUUCUCUUGUGGCAGAGUGGGUUAACGGUCCCACAUUGUCACUGCAUUGGGUUGGGUCACUGCUGUGACGUGGGUUUGCUCCCUGGCCCAAGAACUUCCACAUGCUACAGGCAUGGCUUGGUCCAAAAAAAAAAAAAAGGACUGAUAAAACUUUUGCCUUUUUUUUUUCUUUUGGGUGGCACCUGCGACCUAUGGAAGUCCUCAGGCUAGGAGGUGAAUCGGAACCAUGGCCACAGCAAUAAGGGAUCCAAUCCAGGUCUGCGACCUGCACCACAGUUCAUGGCAACGCUGGAUCCUUAACCCCCUGAGCGAGGCCAGGGAUGCAACCCGCAUCUUCAUGGAUCCUUGUCAGGUUCAUUAACUGCUGAGCCAUGAAGGGAGCUCCCCAAUAAAACUUUUUAAAUGUAUUGUAUGUACUAUAUCUUUAGCACAAGAUUUUUUUUUGAAUUUUUAGCAUCCAUAAUUGCAAUUCAAUAUUUAUUAUCUUCCAUAUACAUUGUGUUAGACUUAUCUUUAGUUCAACAUUCUAAAAAUGAAACUUUAUUUUUUACUUAAACUUAUUCUACAGAGGAAAUACAAUAGUUAUCCUAAUUUUAAUAAACGCUAAAUGCUUUGUAAAAUUUUUCUUUGUGCACUAAAUGAUUUUGGCCCACACCCAGCAACUGUGAUGAAUGUAAUAAUGACAUGACAUUUUGAAAGCAGGCCUGAUGCAUUAAGUAUUUAUUGAGCUUCUAUCAUACGCUUAGUAUUGUACUUUCUCUAUACUGUUUUUCUGUGACCAUCCUGAUGUUUUCUUUACAUAAUUAAAAGUGGAGAUGUGGAGUUUAUAUAUAGUCCGGUUGCUUCACAGUUGUACUGGAGGUUAUAAUAAGAAGGGAUACAGUAAAUUAGUUGUGGGGGGGCGGGGUGUAAGCUACCAUUUUCUUCUUAAGGUUGUGACACUAGCUGACAAAUCCAGGGAAUUCACAGCUGGGUGAUGGCACAAAGUACCGUAUGUUCUAAAAACCAUUCGGCCCAGCAGGGUGUCCCUAAUGGCUUCCUUGUUAAGCCUCCAGGGCCAGCUGAUCUGAAGCCCUCUGACACGUCUCCCCUCUGACACGUCUCUGAAUGCUUGUGCUUUGUGUCAUUUUGUCACGAUACAAGUGUUUUCCUGUUGUCUCCGUUCUUGGGAGUUCGUUCUGUCUCCCAGAAUAUUUUCUGAUUCCUUCUGGAAAGGAUAAUGUCCUCCAGCAAACCUGCACUCAUCUGCCUUGAACUUCAGCAUCCACAGAGCUUCUGACACAUGUUCCUUCCCCUUUAUCGCACCUCCUUUUUCCAAAAGGCUCAGUUCUCAGUUACAAGGUGAGAUUCUUUAGUGGACCGCUCAGAACAGAGGGUAAAGGGACACUUCUAUCUACUUUGCUCCCGUUGCCAUUUCUCUCCGGAUGGAUUUUAAACAUUGGCGUUUGUGUAGUUAAAUAAGUAUGAAUAAAACAAUGGAGAAAUGUUAAUAUAUGUACAAAAAGGGAAAUACUCACCUGCCUACUCUCUACUGGGGACAGGAAGUGUCCCUUUUAGUUAUGCAGAGUGCUUUCUUAAGAAGCAUAUAUGAAAAGAGCCUUUAUUCUUUGCUGUUUCCAGUCUGCAUGCUUUCCUGAAGUGUUACGCAUUGAUUGGCCUCUGCCACAGGAGCAGGGAGGGGGACAGAGCAUCCACAGGGACAGCCACAAGUUUGGGAGACAGGCGGGAAACUAGUCCUAAUUGAUUAAUUGGGUCAUUUCACUAUGUCGUGACUCUGUUAAUGGCCAUUGUUAGUGAGUAAAUCUUAAUUCAGAAGACCUGAGCAUUUGAGACAUUUUUCAGUUGCUUUUUAAAUGAGAGUAGCCGUUCUAGUCUAUUAAAAUGUCCUUUUUUAGUCAAAGGUUAAUGGCUCAUUUUCCCUUCAGUCUAGGGGGGAUACUUCCCUUCUCUCAUCCUUUUAACAAGUAGCAGAAUUUCUUUGAUACUUCUUUCACAGAUGUCUCUUACUCGUCAGCUGUCUCUUUCUUCUUUUCUACAACCAGCACUAUUUAGGUCUUACACAUCCCUCUUCUCUAUUGUUGCCUCUAAUUUUUGUACCCCAUUAACUUGGACUUGGCCUGCAAUGGAACUGAAUUUAUCCUCCUUAAGGUCUAUAGAAAGAAAAUGAUGGUGUGCUACUGCCAUCUAAUGGAGAUAAGGAAAAUGACAGUGGAAAAACAAAGCACGUUUAGGGCCGGGUUUUCUAAAGGAUUUUUGAUACCGUCCUGUGGGGGGAGGGGGUCGGGAAUGAUGACACAGCAGUUGCCAUCUUGAAAUCUGCCCUUUCCUGCGGAAAGGGUGAUUUGAAACGCAAUGCAACCAUCGUCACAAGGCCCCUGGACUAUGGCUGAAUCUUGACAUUUAGAAUUUGAAGUUGUUUUUUAAUGAAGAUGGUAGCAACAGAUUGUUGAGACAGGCAUCUCAUUUUGUCAAGCUCUUAACCAUUCAGUUAUUUUGUCAGGGGCCCUUAACAUUUUAAAUAUCAACCAAUACAUAGUUUUAGCUUCUGAAGAUAUUGGAAGAUUGUAUGUAAUACAGGUAUCUAUCUGUCGUGCUCUAGUAAUUUAUAUAUUCAGAAAGAUUUUAUAGCAUUUCUGGAUGUACUGCAGUAGCCAAUAUAAGCUGCAUGCCUUCCUGAAGUUGGUUUACUCUGAAAUGUAACUUUAAAUAAACAUUAUUCCAAAAAAAACCCCAGUAUUUCUGCUUGAGUCAAUUCGUUUUGAAAAUUGCACUUCUUCAUAAAAAACACUUUUCUGCUAUAGCAGCGAGGGUCAAAAGUUUCAUUCGCAAUCAGUUGGUGAAUUGUGUCAACAAACCGCAAUUGAGCAUAACUAGCAGACGUGACCUUAUAUUUUUUUUUUCCCCUUCAGUUCACCUCUAGAGCCCUCCUUCCCAAAUAAAACAUUUGAAGUUUGCUCUUCCGUUUCCCAGGCCAUCUUCUUCCUGAGUGGGCCGUUGUUACAUUUGUCCUUGUCCCUGACCAGGCAUCAGAGUUGGGGCUUUACUUUUGUUUUUAUCCUUGUUUGUUACUCAUACAGUUGCCCCCAGUCCAUCCAUGGGAUUUAUCGCUGCUGUAGUCUGUUGUGAAGCUUGAAAUCUUUUUUUUUUUUUUUUUUUUUUGCUGCACCCCAAGCAUGCAGAAAUUCCCAAGCCAGGGAUCAAACUUGUACCAUAGCAGCAACCUAAGCUGCUGCCAUGACAAUGCCAGAUCCUUAACCUACUCUGCCAGAAGGGAACUCCUUUCAAUCUAUAUUUUAAAAACCUCUACCACGUGAUUUUGAUACCUAGCCAGGGCUGAGAACCCCAUUGGAAGCAACUACUUAGUAAUGCGCAAAUAGGAGUUCCCAUCAUGGCUCAGUGGUUAAGGAACCUGACUAGCAUCCAUGAGGACACCGAUUUGAUCCCUGGCCUCGCUCAUCGGGUUAAGGAUCUUGGUGUUGCAACGAGCUGUGUAGGUUGCAGAAGCGGCUCGGAUCCUGUGUUGCUGUGGCUGUGGCAUAGGCCGGUGGCUACAGCUCUGCUUCAACCCCUAGCCUGGGCACCUCCAUAUGCCGCAGGUGCAGCCCUAAAAAGACAAACAAAAACAAACAAAUCGUAAAAUAAAAUUUAAAAAAAUACACAAAUUUGGAGUUCCCGUCAUGGCGCAGUGGUUAACGAAUCCGACUAGGAACCAUGAGGUUGCGGGUUUGGUCCCUGCCCUUGCUCCGUGGGUUAACGAUCCGGCGUUGCCGUGAGCCGUGGUGUAGGUUGCAGACAUGGCUUGGAUCCUGCGUUGCUGUGGCUCUGGCGUAGGCCGGUGGCUACAGCUCCGAUUGGACCCCUAGCCUGGGAACCUCCAUAUGCCGCGGGAGCGGCCCAAGAAAUAGCAACAACAACAACAACAACAAUAA
ensembl:lncRNA